GGGACCAUAGCUCAGUGGUAGAGCAUAUGCUUUGCAUACACCAGGUCUCAGGUUCAAUCCUUGUCAUUCCA